GAAUUUUCUUUGAAGCAAGCCAGUACCACAGUAGAAAUUAUUGUUUCUUUAUUAAAUAGCCAGUUCCUAAAGUGUCUCUAUUUGCCAAUUCUGUGAAAUUUGUUAUUUUCUCUAUUUAAAUAUAAAACUUUUGACAGUAUCUCUUGAUAACUUGAUAUCUACUAGCUUCGAAUAUUUUAGGCCAUGCUUCUUCCAUUCUUUUGGCAGCUUUUUCUUUUCUUUUUAUUGAUAAUUACAGGAUGAGAGUGGUUGUAUUCCAAUGGCUGUAAGCAUGAAAUCUAUGUGGAAGAGAUCUAUGAAUCGAUCAACCAGAUGUAUACCUCUAAUUUAAACUCCUGAAAAUCCCCAUGGUUGUGGGUGGUGCAGACAGAAUGUGAGCAAGGAAGUACAUCUGUAAAAGCCCAGAUGUUCCAAAUGUAGGAGUAUCUUCAUUCUUCAAGUCUGUACAAGAGAUGUAUGUGCAGAUGAUAGCCAAGAUAAUACAACGAUUCAACACAUAUCAAUCUAACUGAAGGACAAAUAUCCAUUGAUGCAGUUGCAUCUUAGCUAAGAAGUUAACUUGGAUCUGCUUCGCAGUCAUUGAUGAUCAACUAAGUAGUAGGAUAGUUUUCUGAUCAGAUGAAAUCGCUUUAUCUUAUCUGGCUGGAAUUUGAAGAGCUGAGGCUACCAUCAGGAAAAUCUACCAUGUAAUAACACUAACCCAGAACAUUGCUACUGAGUCUACUACACAGUAAUGCUGACUAGGAAAUUGCUACUGAGUCUACUACACAGUAAUGCUGACUAGGAAAUUGCUACUGAGUCUACUACACAGUAAUGCUGACUAGGAAAUUGCU